CACAAACUGACAACCGUAAAUCUCCAUCUCUCGCUGCUGUUUUCACUGCUUUCAGAAAACUUUGAAAAAGUCCGUAAGCAUCUCAACUGUUUUCAGGCAAGAAGUUAUAAUAAUCUCUCUACAACAGAAGAUAAGCUCCAAAAUUUCAAAGUUUCUGAAGGGAGCUGCUGACAGAAACGCAGGAAACACAGAGUUGGAGCAGACCUCCUGUCGGACAACAUCUCUAAGACGCUAUGAACCAUAUGACUUGAUCUUAUGUACCCAGUCUCAACCAUUCAUCAAAAGGACUGUGAAAGCGGGAACUCUUUGACCCACAAGUGGCAGUUUCCACAGGAUGAAAAAGGGCAUACUAGUGGAUGAUGGCAAAAUGCAUCUAAUAUAAGGAAGAAAAAGUAGGGUUCAGGCACCAAAUUCCAAAGAACAGGUCGACGCAUGGCAUUCUGGGAUUUCUUCUUUGUCCUUUUUUGCAUUCCAUUUGAAACUCUGCAUUUUUCUAUUUCUUUUGUGGCAAAGUAACAAUAGCCAUUGGCAUGCCUAUGAGCAGCACA